UUUUAAAAAAUAAUUUUUAAUAAAAUCUGCUCCAUGACAAUUUAAAUAGCCGCAGAUAUUCUGUGCUAAGGUAGCAUAAUCACUUGCCUUCUAAUUAAAGGCUAGAAUGAAAGAUUUAACAUUUUAAUUACUAUUUCAAAUCUAAUUUUUUAACCUAUUCUAAAUGUAAAAAAACAUUUAUUCUUUAGAAAGACGACAAGACCCUAUUGAACUUAACUUUAGUUUUACUGGGGCAGUAAAUUAAAAAUUACUUUAAUUUCCUUUAACCCUCCGACAGACCCAAUCUAAUUGAUUUUAUGACCAAGUUACCAUAGGGAUAACAGCGCUAUAAUUAUUUAAAGAUCUUAUUUAAAUAAUAUCUUACGACCUCGAUGUUGAAUAAUUCCCCCGUAAACGCAAUAGUUUUCUCACGGAAGUCUGUUCGACUUUUAAUUUAUUACA
rnacentral:rRNA from 1 species